rnacentral:rRNA from 1 species
CACAAGCGGUGGAGCAUGUGGUUAAUUCGAAGCAACGCGAAGAACCUUACCAGGUCUUGACAUCCCGAUGCUAUUUCUAGAGAUAGAAAGUUACUUCGGUACAUCGGUGACAGGUGGUGCAUGGUUGUCGUCAGCUCGUGUCGUGAGAUGUUGGGUUAAGUCCCGCAACGAGCGCAACCCCUAUUGUUAGUUGCCAUCAUUCAGUUGGGCACUCUAGCGAGACUGCCGGUAAUAAACCGGAGGAAGGUGGGGAUGACGUCAAAUCAUCAUGCCCCUUAUGACCUGGGCUACACACGUGCUACAAUGGUUGGUACAACGAGUUGCGAGUCGGUGACGGCGAGCUAAUCUCUUAAAGCCAAUCUCAGUUCGGAUUGUAGGCUGCAACUCGCCUACAUGAAGUCGGAAUCGCUAGUAAUCGCGGAUCAGCACGCCGCGGUCGAAUACGUUCCCGGGCCUU